AUUGCCUCAGUAACGGCGAGUGAAGCGGCAACAGCUCAAAUUUGAAAUCUGGCCUCACGGUCCGAGUUGUAAUUUGUAGAGGAUGCUUCGAGCAUGGUCUGGCCUAAGUUCCUUGGAACAGGACGUCAUAGAGGGUGAGAAUCCCGUAUGCGGCCAGGUGCCUACGCUCAUGUGAAGCUCCUUCGACGAGUCGAGUUGUUUGGGAAUGCAGCUCAAAAUGGGUGGUAAAUUUCAUCUAAAGCUAAAUAUUGGCCAGAGACCGAUAGCGCACAAGUAGAGUGAUCGAAAGAUGAAAAGCACUUUGGAAAGAGAGUUAAACAGUACGUGAAAUUGUUGAAAGGGAAGCGCUUGCAACCAGACUUGCGUGCGGCCGAUCAUCCGGUGUUCUCACCGGUGCACUCGGUCGCGCUCAGGCCAGCAUCGGUUUUGGUGGUUGGAUAAAGGCCCUAGGAAUGUAGCUUCUCUCGGGGAGUGUUAUAGCCUAGGGUGCAAUGCAGCCCACCGGGACCGAGGACCGCGCUUCGGCUAGGAUGCUGGCGUAAUGGUUGUAAGCGACCCGUCUUGAAACACGGACCAAGGAGUCUAACAUCUAUGCGAGUGUUUGGGUGUCAAACCCAUACGCGUAAUGAAAGUGAACGGAGGUGAGAACCCUUAAGGGUGCAUCAUCGACCGAUCCUGAUGUCUUCGGAUGGAUUUGAGUAAGAGCAUAGCUGUUGGGACCCGAAAGAUGGUGAACUAUGCCUGAAUAGGGUGAAGCCAGAGGAAACUCUGGUGGAGGCUCGCAGCGGUUCUGACGUGCAAAUCGAUCGUCAAAUUUGGGCAUAGGGGGCGAAAGACUAAUCGGAAA
rnacentral:rRNA from 1 species